rnacentral:rRNA from 1 species
GAUGAACGCUAGCUACAGGCUUAACACAUGCAAGUCGAGGGGAAACGACAUCGAAAGCUUGCUUUUGAUGGGCGUCGACCGGCGCACGGGUGAGUAACGCGUAUCCAACCUGCCCACCACUUGGGGAUAACCUUGCGAAAGUAAGACUAAUACCCAAUGACGUCUCUAGAAGACAUCUGAAAGAGAUUAAAGAUUUAUCGGUGAUGGAGGGGGAUGCGUCUGAUUAGCUUGUUGGCGGGGUAACGGCCCACCAAGGCGACGAUCAGGAGGGGUUCUGAGAGGAAGGUCCCCCACAUUGGAACAGAGACACGGUCCAAACUCCGACGGGAGGCAGCAGUGAGGAAUAUUGGUCAAUGGGCGAGAGCCUGAACCAGCCAAGUAGCGUGCAGGAUGACGGCCCUAUGGGUUGUAAACUGCUUUUAUAAGGGAAUAAAGUGAGUCUCGUGAGACUUUUUGCAUGUACCUUAUGAAUAAGGACCGGCUAAUUCCGUGCCAGCCGCCGCCGUAA